rnacentral:rRNA from 1 species
AAUGAACGCUGGCGGCAUGCCUAACACAUGCAAGUCGAACGAAGGCUUCGGCCUUAGUGGCGCACGGGUGCGUAACGCGUGGGAAUCUGCCCUUGGGUUCGGAAUAACAGUUAGAAAUGACUGCUAAUACCGGAUGAUGUCGUAAGACCAAAGAUUUAUCGCCCAAGGAUGAGCCCGCGUAGGAUUAGCUAGUUGGUGGGUAAAGGCCUACCAAGGCGACGAUCCUUAGCUGGUCUGAGAGGAUGAUCAGCCACACUGGGACUGAGACACGGCCCAGACUCCUACGGGAGGCAGCAGUGGGGAAUAUUGGACAAUGGGCGAAAGCCUGAUCCAGCAAUGCCGCGUGAGUGAUGAAGGCCUUAGGGUUGUAAAGCUCUUUUACCCGGGAUGAUAAUGACAGUACCGGGAGAAUAAGCUCCGGCUAACUUCGUG